CCCUUAGAUGUCCUGGGCCGCACGCGCGCUACACUGAGUGUCUGAGAUACGAGUCUGCCUGGUCCGGCAAGGUCUAGGUAAUCGCUAAAAGACACAUCAUGCUUGGGAUAGAUUAUUGCAAAUAUUAAUCUUGAACGAGGAGUUCCUAGUAAGCGCAAGUCAACAGCUUGCGUUGAUUACGUCCCUGCCCUUUGUACACACCGCCCGUCGCUACUACUGAUUGGAUGUUUAAGCGAGGUUCUCGAACUGCUAGCGACUUAGCUUCGGUGAGGUCGCAGUGUGGGAAGUGAACCUAGCUUUGGUGUCUAGAGGAAGUAAAAGUCGUAACA
rnacentral:rRNA from 1 species